AGAAGGUGAGAAAGAAGAAGAAGCUGGGAAAAAUGAAAAAUAAUUGAUAAAAUUAAAUGAGUAAGAAGCAAAUAAAGAAGAAGAACAUAAGAAAAAAAAAUAAAGAAAAGAAAGAAGAAAAAGAAGAAGCAGACAAAGAAGACGCAGAACAAGAGAAAAAUGAGGAGAGAGAAGAAGAGAAAAAAGAUGAAGAAAAAAAAGAUGUUCAUGAUGCGGUG
rnacentral:lncRNA from 1 species